rnacentral:rRNA from 1 species
CCAGGAUGUUGGCUUAGAAGCAGCCAUCAUUUAAAGAAAGCGUAAUAGCUCACUGGUCGAGUCGGCCUGCGCGGAAGAUGUAACGGGGCUAAACCAUGCACCGAAGCUGCGGCAGCGACGCUUAUGCGUUGUUGGGUAGGGGAGCGUUCUGUAAGCCUGUGAAGGUGGCCUGUGAGGGUUGCUGGAGGUAUCAGAAGUGCGAAUGCUGACAUAAGUAACGAUAAAGCGGGUGAAAAGCCCGCUCGCCGGAAGACCAAGGGUUCCUGUCCAACGUUAAUCGGGGCAGGGUGAGUCGACCCCUAAGGCGAGGCCGAAAGGCGUAGUCGAUGGGAAACGGGUUAAUAUUCCCGUACUUGGUGUUACUGCGAAGGGGGGACGGAGAAGGCUAUGUUGGCCGGGCGACGGUUGUCCCGGUUUAAGCGUGUAGGUGUGUGUUCCAGGUAAAUCCGGUUCACUUUAACACUGAGGCGUGACGACGAGGCACUACGGUGCUGAAGCAACAAAUGCCCUGCUUCCAGGAAAAGCCUCUAAGCAUCAGGUAACAUCAAAUCGUACCCCAAACCGACACAGGUGGUCAGGUAGAGAAUACCAAGGCGCUUGAGAGAACUCGGGUGAAGGAACUAGGCAAAAUGGUGCCGUAACUUCGGGAGAAGGCACGCUGACACGUAGGUGAAGUGAUUUACUCAUGGAGCUGAAGUCAGUCGAAGAUACCAGCUGGCUGCAACUGUUUAUUAAAAACACAGCACUGUGCAAACACGAAAGUGGACGUAUACGGUGUGACGCCUGCCCGGUGCCGGAAGGUUAAUUGAUGGGGUCAGCGCAAGCGAAGCUCCUGAUCGAAGCCCCGGUAAACGGCGGCCGUAACUAUAACGGUCCUAAGGUAGCGAAAUUCCUUGUCGGGUAAGUUCCGACCUGCACGAAUGGCGUAAUGAUGGCCAGGCUGUCUCCACCCGAGACUCAGUGAAAUUGAACUCGCUGUGAAGAUGCAGUGUACCCGCGGCAAGACGGAAAGACCCCGUGAACCUUUACUAUAGCUUGACACUGAACAUUGAGCCUUGAUGUGUAGGAUAGGUGGGAGGCUUUGAAGUGUGGACGCCAGUCUGCAUGGAGCCGACCUUGAAAUACCACCCUUUAAUGUUU